rnacentral:rRNA from 1 species
AUUGAACGCUGGCGGCAGGCCUAACACAUGCAAGUCGAACGAGUGGCGGACGGGUUAGUAAUGUCUGGGAAACUGCACGAUGGAGGGGGACAACUACUGGAAACGGUAGCUAAUACCGCAUACCAUCGGAUGUGCCCAGAUGGGAUUAGCAAGUAGGUGGGGUAACGGCUCACCUAGGCGACGAUCCCUAGCUGGUCGGAGAGGAUGACCAGCCAACCUGGAACUGAGACACGGUCCAGACUCCUACGGGAGGCAGCAGUGGGGAAGAUUGCACAAUGGGCGCAAGCCUGAUGCAGCCAUGCCGCGUGUAUGAAGAAGGCCUUCGGGUUGUAAAGUACUUUCAGCGGGGAGGCGUUACCCGCAGAAGAAGCACCGGCUAACUCCGUGCCAGCAGCCGCGGUAAUAC